rnacentral:rRNA from 1 species
GAUCAUGGCUCAGGAUGAACGCUAGCUACAGGCUUAACACAUGCAAGUCGAGGGGAAACGACAUCGAAAGCUUGCUUUUGAUGGGCGUCGACCGGCGCACGGGUGAGUAACGCGUAUCCAACCUGCCCAUCACUUGGGAAUAACUUUGCGAAAGUAAGACUAAUGCCCAAUGAUAUCCCACGAAGGCAUCCGAAUGGGAUUAAAGAUUUAUCGGUGAUGGAUGGGGAUGUGU